UUCGAUUAGAGGUGCUUGCACCUUUUGAGAGCGGCGGACGGGUGAGUAAUGCCUAGGAAUCUGCCUGGUAGUGGGGGAUAACGCUCGGAAACGGACGCUAAUACCGCAUACGUCCUACGGGAGAAAGCAGGGGACCUUCGGGCCUUGCGCUAUCAGAUGAGCCUAGGUCGGAUUAGCUAGUUGGUGGGGUAAUGGCUCACCAAGGCGACGAUCCGUAACUGGUCUGAGAGGAUGAUCAGUCACACUGGAACUGAGACACGGUCCAGACUCCUACGGGAGGCAGCAGUGGGGAAUAUUGGACAAUGGGCGAAAGCCUGAUCCAGCCAUGCCGCGUGUGUGAAGAAGGUCUUCGGAUUGUAAAGCACUUUAAGUUGGGAGGAAGGGCAUUAAAUUAAUACGUUGGUGUUUUGACGUUACCGACAGAAUAAGCACCGGCUAAUUCUGUGCAAGCAGCCGCGGUAAUACGAAUCACUAGUGAAUUCGCGGCCGCCUGCAGGUCGACCAUAUGGGAGAGCUCCC
rnacentral:rRNA from 1 species